GUCGUUGUGACCAAAAUUUCCUUUAAGGUCGCAUCUCUUUAAAACGGUCUAUACAAUAUGUUGAAGGUGACAGCGUCGGCAAAGGCUAUACCGAUGAAAAGGAAUUGUCGUCUGCAAUACCUCACAAAA